rnacentral:rRNA from 1 species
UGGGGAAUAUUGCACAAUGGGCGCAAGCCUGAUGCAGCCAUGCCGCGUGUAUGAAGAAGGCCUUCGGGUUGUAAAGUACUUUCAGCGGGGAGGAAGGGAGUAAAGUUAAUACCUUUACUCAUUGACGUUACCCGCAGAAGAAGCACCGGCUAACUCCGUGCCAGCAGCCGCGGUAAUACGGAGGGUGCAAGCGUUAAUCGGAAUUACUGGGCGUAAAGCGCACGCAGGCGGUUUGUUAAGUCAGAUGUGAAAUCUCCGGGCUCAACCUGGGAAAUGCGUCUGCUACUGGCAAGCUAGAGUCUCGUAGAGGGGGGUAGGAUUCCAGGUGUAGCGGUGGAAUGCGUAGGGAUCUGGAGGAAUACCGGUGGCGAAGGCGGCCCGCUGGACGAAGACUGACGCUCAGGUGCGAAAGCGUGGGGAGCAAACAGG